UGAAAACAUUCAGUCCUCCUGCUGUCAUUGAUGCAUUCAUCCCUAUACACAGUGACUAACUUCGUCUUCCUGAAGAUUCCUUUUAACAGUCGACACAGGGGCUGAAUGGUAUGUACAGGAUGAAGAAAGCCUUCUGCACUUUGCAUUUUGCCUUAUGUGACUUUCAGCAAAGCCAUUUAACCCCUUGGGUGGUUCUGUUUUCCAGAUUGUAAAUAAGGUAAAGUAGUCUCCCAAAGAGAACUGAGUUAUAGUGUCUAAGCAUGACUGUCUCCUGGAGCAGAAAUCAGAUUGAGAAAUAUGUAUUUCACUCAUCUUCAGCACAGCAUCAGAAACUUUUUUGUUGUCUAUGACCAUCACAUUCCAGACUUGUCUAGUCAGCAACUUCUCCAUCUGGAAUCAGAUUGCUCACUACGGACUGAAUGCUGACGGACUUCCCUGGGCCUGCUACCUGAGACCUGCUGCUUCCUCCUGGACUUACUCUGCAGCUUCUUCCUAGACCCACCCGGUACCUGCACCCUCUCAUUGCCCAAGACCGGCAUCGCUGCUCCUGCCCUUCGGCCUUGGACCGUCAGAACGGCAUGCAACGGAUGGCUGUUGG
ensembl:lncRNA